rnacentral:rRNA from 1 species
CCUACGGGCGGCAGCAGUGGGGGAUAUUGCACAAUGGGGGGAACCCUGAUGCAGCGACGCCGCGUGGGUGAAGGAGCGUUUCGGCGCGUAAAGCCCUAUCGGCAGGGAAGAAGAUGACGGUACCUGGCCAAGAAGCCCCGGCUAACUACGUGCCAGCAGCCGCGGUAAUACGUAGGGGGCAAGCGUUAUCCGGAUUUACUGGGGGUAAAGGGGGCGGAGGCGGCAAUGCAAGGCAGGAGUGAAAGCCCGGGGCCCAACCCCGGGACUGCUCUUGGAACUGCAUGGCUGGAGUACAGGAGGGGAAGGUGGAAUUCCUAGUGUAGCGGUGAAAUGCGUAGAUAUUAGGAGGAACACCGGUGGCGAAGGCGGCCUGCUGGACUGUGACUGACGUUGAGGCCCGAAGGCGUGGGGAGCAAACAGGAUUAGAUACCCCAGUAGUC